AAUAAGUGCAGCCGUGAAUAUCCGUGUCCAACGUUUGACUGUCCGUCUUAUUUGAAAAUUUUGUGAAAAAUUUGAAAAUAUUUAGUCACACAUAAAGUACUAUUCAUGUUUUAUCAUCUAAGAGCAAUAAAAAUACUAACCAUAAAAAAAUUCAAAUAAAAUGAACGGUCAAACGUUGAACGUGAACAGUGCAAAACUGUACUUAUU
rnacentral:pre_miRNA from 1 species